rnacentral:rRNA from 1 species
AAGGAAUAUUGGUCAAUGGACGAAAGUCUGAACCAGCUAUGCCGCGUGGAGGAUGAAGGCCCUCUGGGUUGUAAACUUCUUUUAUAUGGGACGAAAAAGGGCCUUUCUAGGUCAACUGACGGUACCAUGUGAAUAAGCACCGGCUAACUCCGUGCCAGCAGCCGCGGUAAUACGGAGGGUGCAAGCGUUAUCCGGAUUCACUGGGUUUAAAGGGUGCGUAGGUGGGUUGGUAAGUCAGUGGUGAAAUCCCCGAGCUUAACUUGGGAACUGCCAUUGAUACUAUUAGUCUUGAAUACCGUGGAGGUCGGCGGAAUAUGUCAUGUAGCGGUGAAAUGCUUAGAUAUGACAUAGAACACCAAUUGCGAAGGCAGCUGGCUACACGAGUAUUGACACUGAGGCACGAAAGCGUGGGGAUCAAAC